rnacentral:rRNA from 1 species
CGAGCGUUGUCCGGAAUUAUUGGGCGUAAAGAGCUCGUAGGCGGUGUGUCGCGUCGGCCGUGAAAACCUGCAGCUUAACUGUGGGCGUGCGGUCGAUACGGGCAUCACUGGAGUUCGGCAGGGGAGACUGGAAUUCCUGGUGUAGCGGUGAAAUGCGCAGAUAUCAGGAGGAACACCGGUGGCGAAGGCGGGUCUCUGGGCCGAUACUGACGCUGAGGAGCGAAAGCGUGGGGAGCGAACAGG